rnacentral:tRNA from 1 species
UUUUGAUAAAUAAAAAUUUUGAUUUCGAAUCAAAAAAUAUAAAUCAAUAA